AUGAACGCCAGGCCCACGGUGGCUUGGCAGGGGAGGUGGGGGGGAAGCUGUGACUGACCUUUUCUCCCAAAACGUUGACAUUUUCUAAGGCUUCUGAGCACUCGAAGUCACCUCCAUGGCUGGGACAUUGAUAGGAGCGGAUUGAUGAGGUGUCAUUAGAGGAGAGACGCCGUGGCCCCAGUGUUUGCUGGGAGAAUACAGCAGGUGUUCUGACAAGGACACACACCAUCACUGUUAUUUGCCAAACAAUUCUCUUGAUUCACUAAAGUCAAGCAUGCCAGCAUUUCUUUAUAAAAAGAAAACAAGGCUGUUUUUCAUAGCCACCCAGAGGAGAGGUCAUCGCUAAAUUGCAUUUCUGAAUUACUUUUCAUUUCGCAUCAAUAUAGUAAAAAGGUUUCUAUUAUUCCUCCCCCCUCACAUCCUCCUUCCCUCUGCACCCCUCCACUCUGCCCCCACCUGGCCCUGCCCAGAAUCCUCGUGGCAUGUAAGCGGAAAAUAUUACGUGAUGGUAAAGGAAGUGAGAUAUGAGGAGAAACUUGUUGAUAGCCACACUAACAGAGGAAGACAUUUCCACCUAGAGGCCCAGAGGAGGAGAAAAAAAGUAGAGGUAAAAUGUUUUCAGACUAUAAAUUCUAUGUUUGUAUAUCACAAAAGAAAUACAGUGGAUUCAUAUUACAACACUAAUCUGAAUUUAUUUAUAAGUAAAAGGAGUCUUCAAAGAGAAUGGAUGAAAAUCUAUUAUCAAAAGGAAGAUAGCAAUAGAUAACACUACAUAAGAUAAUGUGAGUUUAGGUCUUUCCAUGCAGGGUCUUUCCUUUGUAUAUCCUCCCAUAUCUUCCCCCAUCCAACCUUCCUGACAUUCCAUCACUCUGUCACCUGUGUCAGUUUUCAGAAAACAAUGGUUCCUCAGCAAAAAUUACCUGUCUGACUGUCUUUGUAUUCCUGCCAUCUUCUGUUUACCCCUUACUAACUUCAGGGCUUCAGGUCAUGGACCUCCAUUCCCUUGGCUAGACAUUUAGUGGAACUCUCAACACUACAGUGGAAGUAAUUAUGCAGUCCCCAUUUUUACCCAAACCCUCUAGAAAUCUUGAACCACUGAAUAAAGUAAAUAAGAUGAUGACUUUAGUGAUCCCUUCUAUUCACAAUGGUUUGAAUUUUUGUUUUUUGGUUUUUGGGUUUUUUUUGUUUUUUUUUUUUUUUUAUCUUUUUGCCUUUUCUAAGGCCACUUCCUGCGGCAUAUGGAGGUUCCCAGGCUAGGGGUCGAAUUGGAGCUGUAGCCACCAGCCUACGCCAGAGCCACAGCAACGCGG
rnacentral:lncRNA from 1 species